CCUACGGGAGGCAGCAGUGAGGAAUAUUGGUCAAUGGCCGAGAGGCUGAACCAGCCAAGUCGCGUGAGGGAAGACGGCCCUACGGGUUGUAAACCUCUUUUGUCGGGGAGCAAAGCGAGUCACGUGUGACUCAUUGAGAGUACCCGAAGAAAAAACAUCGGCAAACUCCGUGCCAGCAGCCGCGGUAAUACGGAGGAUGCGAGCGUUAUCCGGAUUUGUUGGGUUUAAAGGGUGCGCAGGGGGAGGUGCAAGUCAGCGGUAAAAUUGCGGGGCUCAACCCCGUACUGCCGUUGAAACUGCAUGCCUUGAGUGCGCGAGAAGUAUGCGGAAUGCGAGGUGUAGCGGUGAAAUGCAUAGAUAUCACGAAGAACUCCGAUUGCGAAGGCAGCAUACCGGCGCGCAACUGACGCUCAUGCACGAAAGCGUGGGUAUCGAACAGGAUUAGAUACCCUUGUAGUC
rnacentral:rRNA from 1 species